rnacentral:rRNA from 1 species
UGGGGAAUUUUGGACAAUGGGCGAAAGCCUGAUCCAGCAAUGCCGCGUGUGUGAAGAAGGCCUUCGGGUUGUAAAGCACUUUUGUCCGGAAAGAAAUCCUUGGCUCUAAUACAGUCGGGGGAUGACGGUACCGGAAGAAUAAGCACCGGCUAACUACGUGCCAGCAGCCGCGGUAAUACGUAGGGUGCAAGCGUUAAUCGGAAUUACUGGGCGUAAAGCGUGCGCAGGCGGUUUGCUAAGACCGAUGUGAAAUCCCCGGGCUCAACCUGGGAACUGCAUUGGUGACUGGCAGGCUAGAGUAUGGCAGAGGGGGGUAGAAUUCCACGUGUAGCAGUGAAAUGCGUAGAGAUGUGGAGGAAUACCGAUGGCGAAGGCAGCCCCCUGGGCCAAUACUGACGCUCAUGCACGAAAAGCGUGGGGAGCAAAACAGGAUUAGAUACCCCUGGUAGUCCACGCCCUAAAACGAUGUCAACUAGUUGUUGGGGAUUCAUUUCCUUAGUAACGUAGCUAACGCGUGAAGUUGACCGCCUGGGGAGUACGGUCGCAAGAUUAAAACUCAAAUGAAUUGACGGGGUCAUAGCUGUUUCC